GGGUCGAUGCCCGAGGGGUUAAUGGGGACGGACUGUAAAUUCGUUGACGAUAUGUCUACGCUGGUUCAAAUCCAGCUCGGCCCA
rnacentral:tRNA from 4 species